UACGUAGGGGGCAAGCGUUGUCCGGAUUUAUUGGGCGUAAAGAGCGUGUAGGCGGCCAUGCAGGUCAGCUGUGAAAACUCGAGGCUCAACCUCGAGACGUCGGUUGAAACCGUAUGGCUAGAGUCCGGAAGAGGAGAGUGGAAUUCCCGGUGUAGCGGUGAAAUGCGUAGAUAUCAGGAGGAACACCUGUGGCGAAAGCGGCUCACUGGACCAUAACUGACGCUGAUGCACGAAAGCUAGGGGAGCAAACAGG
rnacentral:rRNA from 1 species